rnacentral:tRNA from 1 species
GCCAAUGUGGCAUAGUGGUUUUUGAGUGUUGGACUGUGACUCUGGAGAUUAGGGUUCCAUUCCCUAUUUGCCA